UAAAUCUAGACAGUAUGAAGAAGAAAAGGGUUCAGAGGGGAAGGGAAGACCCCAGACAAAAGAGAAGAGAGGGGGUGUGUAACAGGGAACCCUAGCCCUGUCACCAAAAAGCAGGUCUGCCGCUUUACGACCAGAACUUUCUGGGUACAGAGUGCUGGUAAGGAAGGGGUUAAAUGCUGGGCCUGGACAGCUAGUCAGCUGACCGGAAGGGGCAGGACUAUAAAAACCCUGGGCAGAAUGGCAGUAAGGGGGAAGGGCUGUCUCUGAGAGCUUUAUAGAGAAGCUGGGUGAGUGGUCCAAAGGCAGGAGCUACGGAAGUUGUGCGGAGAUGGCAGCCACACCACAGCAAGGACUGUAGCUGACAGAAGGGAGCUGAGGCAUGAACCCUGCGAAUGUAAGCUGAGCUGCUGCUUUGCUUGAUCAUAUUGGUUCCCAGUGAGAAUACCACUCUAUGGUGGAGGAUCCUCUAUUCAUUAGUGGAGACACCUUCUUGUAUAAAUGCACACAGUCGUAUCACUUUAUUUGUGAGAAAAUGGCUGUUCAAUAAAUCCACUGCAGUCUCAGAAGAAUCAGAGAAUCCAUCCACAGAUGCUGCAAAGACAGAGACACCACCCAGCUUUUAACUUGCUGCACUACCUUUGAAACAAAUGAGGUGUCGCAUCAGAGGAUAAACCAUGACCCUUGCGGAAUGGCCCCAGCCAGUAGAAGCCCUCCCCCAACACCUUGUGUGACCUUCAUUCCUUGUUUGGUCUGAAACGUUUCCUGAAAUGGAAAAUUACAUCAUAAAAAGACUUUAUUUUUCCAACAUA